GAAAUCUCCAAUUUCUUUACCACCAGAAGACUUGGAGAAGUGAAGACAGGACUCUGCACCAAAAAAUCAAAAAUGGCAUUUUGUAUGGAAAUCCAUCAUAGGCAUAAGCACUGUCAGUCUUGUUUUUGGCUUUUAGUUGCCAUCUGUGAACUAGCAGCUUGGGAAGGGGUUCAGAGCUGCAACUACAGUUAUUCAAUAACAGAUAUGACAUGGCCCGAUGCCGGAAACUACUGCCAACAUUUCUUCACUGACCUCGUUGCAAUUCAGAACCACGAAGAAAGUGACCAUCUGAAUACAGUGAUACCAAGGAACCCAACUGGAUUGGAAUAAGAAAGAUUAAUAAUGUUUGGACCUGGGUUGGAACUAACAAAACAUUGGAUGAAGAGGCAGAAAACUGGGCUGCAGGUGAACCAACUCCUGGUGCUGAAGAUUGUGUAGAAAUUUAUGUAAAGAGAACGACAGAUGCAGGAAGGUGGAAUAACGAUCCCUGUAAAAAAAUGAAGCGUGCAUUAUGUUAUUUAGCUAGAAGCAACUGAUCCCUCUGGGGAGUGUUAAACUGGAAUUGAUAUUAGAAAUUAGCAAAUCUACCUUCUGGAUCCCACUCAUCUUUGUCAGCAGCUUUUGCAGAGGUCAGUAACAAGCAG